rnacentral:rRNA from 1 species
AUAGUUAAAAUAUGAUAGGAGCCUAUUUAAGUAUAUUAAUUUCUAUCAAAAGUAAUACUAUUCCUCUUUUGCAAUUUACUAGGAGAUUAUGAACUUAGUUCCUAUCCCUGAAUAUCAGUUUCUAAAGCUUUGAGAUUAUACUAUUUUAGUAUUAGGUUAUUUUUAAGAUAUAUAUUAGAUACACUUCACUUUCUAAGCUGCACAAGCUUAAAAGCUUUAAAAAUAAAUAGAUUCAAGCUAUUAGAAUACAAACCUUUCUUCCUAGAGAGGGCUAUUCAAUGUUUGUAACUUCUAAUAGAGUUAAAUAUAUAAAUGUAAAAAAGGCUUUACUAGUAAAGAAAGCUUGAAAAGCUUUUAGUUCAAUUCUACUAACUUUACAAGACAGGCUUUUACUAUAAGUUACAUUUCUUAAUAUUUCUUUUCUUUAGAUAAUAUCUACAAGAAAUUAUUCUAAAAUAAAUAUCUUAGUCGUAUAUUUGACUUUAUAAACAAUUAAUAGACUUUACUACUCAAACUUGUCAUGAUAUACUAAAGAUGUCUAAUAAUAGUUUCUAGAAGAUUAGUAAAUUAUCCAAAACCUAUAAAGCUAGAUUGAAGUUAACAAUUUCUUUAUAGCUUUACUUGAAAAUAAUUACCAUAAAGAGUGACUAAGUAUUUGAAUGAAAUAUUCUUAGUUAGCUCUUCUUUAUAAGUAGAAUUAGUGAUACAAGAUAAACAAAAUAAAACUUUAUAGUACUGAAGUACACGCUUAUUAAAACUUAUAAAAAGUAUUAAUUCAUUUAAAUAGUAAAAUAGCAGCUAUAAAAGUUGAAGUUUACUAAGAAAUAUAUAAUAACUUACUUACAAAAUCAACCAGCUUUGAAAAUAUAUACUAAUUAAGUAUGAUACUAAUCCAUUUUCACUCAAGUAAGAUUUAUGUCCUAGUAACUAGGUAGGCGUAAAAGCGUAUAAUAAAGCUUUGAAAUUACUUUUAAGUAGAAUAGCUUCCAUGUAGUAUAGAUCUUACUAGUAGUAAAUACUUAUAUAAAAAAACUUUAAAGACUAAAGUAAAACAAGAUUUCAUACAAAUAGUAGAUAAAUCCAAGGUAAUUAAUGUUAGAAAAAGAAGUAGUUUUAUUUAAUGAUGAGCACUUCUACUACGACUUAGAAAAAAAGCUAGUUAAAAUUCUAGUAUUCAGAUAUAAAUUCUGUAUAGUACUUUUACUAAAAGUAAAGACUUUAGAAGAAGCUUUCAAAAGAGUUCUCUUUUCCUCUUAAUAAUUUAUAACUUUAAAAUUAGUUUAUUCAAAGCUAAAGUUUGACAGGGAAGAGAGCGCUAUACUUUUAUAGCGUUAAGUGCCACUUGAAAAAGCUUUAAAAAUCUACUUAAAGAAGCAGUUCUUGUACUAAGUUAUGAAUAUAAUUAUAGUAAGUUUUUGAAGUAAAAACCUUUUAGUUAAUAAAUUGAUAUAAACAAGAAAAAUUCAAAAAAGAAAUUUAUAACUUCAAAGAAGAAAUUAGCUUCAAAACAUAUGUUUAUUGCGCUAUCAAAAAAAGCCUUUAGUACAACGAGAUACUGACCAUAGACUAAGCACGUUUGAGUGGUAAAGUAUAAAUACUCUUCGUAAAUCUUAGCUAUUUAGUAUAUACUGAAUAACUAGCUUAUAACUAGUAUAAAAAAAGGAAAUAGAAUUUUUAAAUGAAAACAUAGGAUUUUAAUGGCUGAAAAGUAGUAUUAAUAUAAGAUAAUUUCCAUUUAGUACUUCAGAUAUGAAAGUAAAAAGAUUUAAUCAAGCGUAAGUACAUAGUAGAGGUAACUAUAACUUUCUCAAAGUAGCUAAAUAUUUUAUGAUUCAAUUAGUAACGCUUGUAGACAGAAUAGUAAGAUUUCUACUAUCUCUAUUUACGGAUUAGCAAAACUAUAGCUUAGAAAAUAGGCUUAGUGAAAUUAGAAAAAAGGAAGACUUUAUUAAGAUUAACUUUAGUUUGAUCUUGAAAGGAUAUAAAAAGUAUAGAAUGAAUAGAAGGUGAGCGCUAGUAAAAUACUACUACUUUUACUAUUUUCUUACUUCUCCAAUGAAGUAAAGCUAAGUCAUAUAUCCUAACUUUUAUCCUUAAAGUCUUUCAUAGGCUGAUCUAAAUUUAUAAUAUUAUUAAGUAAAAAGUUUAGCUCAAGUAGUAUAUAUAUUGAACUAUAUUAUAGGUGUUUCAUGAAAAGCUUAUAGAGGAUAGAACUUUUUAGUAGAGUGGAAAAGUAAAACUCUUUUUAAUUUAAAUCUAAGAUAUAAAUAUGAAAUACAACAGUAUAGCAUAUUGAUUCUUCAAGUUUUUUAAAGUCUAAAGCUAAAAGUAUUAGAAAAGGUACUAUAAAUAUAACCAGCUUAUAGUAGCUAAGCGUUUAUAGUGAUCUUGCUUUUGAAUGUUUUAAUAUUAGCAUUUUUUAUUAUGAUAAAGAAACAUUUAGUAAGCGUUACGUUAUUCACUUACUAAUAAAAAAUAUAGGCUAGAAUUAGACUAUUAUAAGAUAAGUUAGUUUUACUGUACUAAUAACAUUACUUUAAUAGUAAUACUACUUAGUAUGAAAGAAACUAUAGGUUUAAAUAAUUAAUUGUAUUAGCUAUGUAACUCAGUAUUACUAUAAAGUUCCUAUUUGCUAGAUAAUAGCUGAACGCCUUUAAGUUAGAAUCUAAAAUAGAAUAGAGUGAUUUCUGCCUAUACUAGUUGGAUAUAAAUAGGCCUUUAGCUUGGAACCCUACUAGGCUAGCAUAAGUAGUCUUAUCAAAGUUAGGGCUAUUUAUUAGUGUAUUAUAACUAUAUACUACGUAAGAUCAAAUCUUUUAUAAAUAACAUAGUUAUUUAGCUAUGUUGUAUAAGUAGUUAAGUAGCCUUAUUAUUAUAAGCUAUUAAGUGUAAGCUUAUUACUAGCUUAGUUAAA